rnacentral:rRNA from 1 species
AUGGCGAUGGCCAGCGCGAGGAGCAGCCUGGAGAUCGUGCCCCACAGCGGCGACCUCGAGGUGCCGCCGGCGGACGUGCCGCGGCAGGACUCGCUCUACCGCGACGCCACCAGGCCCGCGCACGGCGGCCACCAUGGCCAGGACAACUGGGUGAGGACGCUGCGGCUGGGCUUCCAGUGCGUGGGGAUCCUCUACGCCGACCUCGGCACAUCGCCGCUCUACGUCUUCUCCAACACCUUCAAAUACGGCGUCGGGCACAAGGACGACGUGCUGGGCGUCCUCUCCCUCAUCAUCUACAGCUUCCUGCUCUUCGCCAUGGUCAAGAUCAUCUUCAUCGCGCUCUACGCCAACGACGACGGCGAUGGUGGAACGUUCGCGCUCUACUCGCUGAUCUCGAGGUACGCGAGGGUGGCGCUGAUCCCGAACCAGCAGGCGGAGGACGACCUCGUCUCCAGCCACCGGCAUCUGUCGGCGACGAGGAGGAGGGCGCAGUGGAUGAAGAACCUGCUGGAGACGAGCAAGCCGGCCAAGCUCACGCUCUUCUUCCUCACCAUCUUCGCCACGGCGCUCGCCAUCAGCGACUGCAUGCUAACCCCUCCCAUCUCCGUACUAUCGGCAGUCAACGGCCUGAGACUGAGAGCGCCUCACCUGACAACAGAUCAGAUAGUGUGGAUCACAGUGGGUAUUCUGAUAUUGUUCUUCACGGUGCAACACCUCGGGACCGACAAGAUCGGUUACACGUUUGCGCCGCUCGUUGUCGUGUGGCUUCUCCUCAUCGCCGGUAUCGGGCUUUAUAACCUGAUCAAGUACGAUAUCGGCACCCUGAAGGCGUUCAACCCCAAGUACAUCUUCGACUAUUUCCGAAGGAACAAGAAGAAGGGAUGGGUUUCGCUCGGUGAAAUCCUCCUUUGCUUUACAGGCACGGAAGCCCUCUUUGCUGAUCUAGGAUACUUCAGCAUAAAGUCAAUUCAGCUGAGCUUUAGCUUUGGCUUACUCCCCUCCGUGUUGCUCACUUAUAUUGGGCAAGCAGCUUACCUCAGGACGCACAUGGACGACAUGAUAAUAUCCAACGCUUUCUUCGAAUCCAUUCCAAGCACUUUGUUCUGGCCGACGUUCGUUCUCGCGCUUCUAGCUUCAGUCAUCGGAAGCCAAGCCAUGGUCUCGUGCGCCUUCGCAACCAUGUCACAUCUGCAAACACUUAGCUGCUUCCCGAGGGUGAAGAUACUGCGCACGUCAAGGCGUUACUCGGGCCAACUCUACAUCCCUGAAGUCAACUUCUUCCUUUGCGUGGCUUCUUGUGUCGUCACCAUAAGCUUCAGGACAACCGGUUUCAUCGCCAAGGCACAUGAGAUCUGCGUGGCUCUUGUGAUGGUGAUCACGACGCUGUUGAUGACGAUCGUGAUGCUCCUGGUGUGGAAGGUGAAUAUCUGGUGGAUCGCCGCUUUCUUCGUCGUCUUCAUGUCCACGGAGACCGUCUACCUGUCGGCGGUGCUGUACAAGUUCACACAGGGCCCCUACUUCCCGCUGGCCAUGUCGGCGGUGCUCAUGGUGAUCAUGAUCGUGUGGCACUACGUGCACGUGAAGCGGUACAAGUACGAGCUCCAGCACACGGUGUCGCCCGACGAGGUGAAGCACCUCCUCGAGCGCCACGACCUCAAGCGGGUCCCGGGGCUUGGCCUUUUCUACACGGAGCUAGUGCAGGGCAUCCCGCCCAUCUUCCCCCACCUCAUCGAGAAGAUCCCCACCGUCCACUCCGUCAUCGUCUUCAUCUCCGUCAAGCACCUGCCCAUCCCGCACGUUGACGUUCAGGAGCGCUUCCUCUUCCGGCAGGUGGAGCCCAAGGAGAGCAUGGUGUUCCGGUGCGUCGCUCGGUACGGCUACCGGGACACCCUCGAGAUGGCCGGCGACUUCGUGGCCACCCUCGUCGAGUACCUCCAGUACUAUGUCCGGGACCUCAGCCUCUACUGCACGGCCGAGCCGCUCAGAACAAGCUACCCUAGCAUUCGGAUCGAUAGCUUCAGAUGGGAGAAGAAGCCCUCGGGGCGCUCAGGGCGCUCGGGGCAUGGCCAUGGCAUCCAUGCCGAGGAGAUGCUUACACCAAUCCAGUCCUUCUCUGAGCUCACGAUGCAUCAAGUUGGUAUGAGCAACCGGCUGCCGCAAUUUCAGACGGCCAAGAUGAACCUAGAGGAGAUGUUGAGAAUUGAGGAGGACCAAAAGGUGAUCCAACGGGAGGUGGAUAAUGGUGUGGUGUACAUACUUGGGGAGACCGAAGUGGUGGCCAAGCCCCACUCCAACCUCCUUAAGAAGAUUGCCGUAAACUACAUCUUCGACUUCCUACGGAAGAACUCUCGAAAAGGGGAGAAGAUGUUGUCCAUUCCACGCGGGCAACUUCUCAAGGUUGGUAUCACAUAUGAAAUAUAA